rnacentral:rRNA from 1 species
AUUGAACGCUGGCGGCAUGCCUUACACAUGCAAGUCGAACGGCAGCACGGGAGCAAUCCUGGUGGCGAGUGGCGAACGGGUGAGUAAUAUAUCGGAACGUGCCCAGUCGUGGGGAUAACGUAGCGAAAGCUACGCUAAUACCGCAUACGAUCUAUGGAUGAAAGCGGGGGAUCGCAAGACCUCGCGCGAUUGGAGCGGCCGAUAUCAGAUUAGGUAGUUGGUGAGGUAAAGGCUCACCAAGCCGACGAUCUGUAGCUGGUCUGAGAGGACGACCAGCCACACUGGGACUGAGACACGGCCCAGACUCCUACGGGAGGCAGCAGUGGGGAAUAUUGGACAAUGGGCGAAAGCCUGAUCCAGCAAUGCCGCGUGAGUGAUGAAGGCCUUAGGGUUGUAAACUGCUUUUGUACGGAACGAAACGGUGAGCUCUAAUACAGUUUGCUAAUGACGGUACCGUAAGAAUAAGACACCGGCUAACUAACG